UACAGAGGUCCCAAGCGUUGUUCGGAUUCACUGGGCGUAAAGGGCGCGUAGGCGGCGCACCAAGUCAGGCGUGAAAGCCCUGGGCUCAACCCGGGAAUUGCGCUUGAGACUGGUGUGCUCGAGUACGGGAGAGGAUAGUGGAAUUCCCAGUGUAGAGGUGAAAUUCGUAGAUAUUGGGAAGAACACCGGUGGCGAAGGCGGCUAUCUGGACCGUAACUGACGCUGAGGCGCGAAAGCGUGGGGAGCAAACAGG
rnacentral:rRNA from 1 species